rnacentral:tRNA from 1 species
AGUGAAAUAGCUCAGUUGGGAGAGCGUUAGACUAUAGAUCGAAAAAUUCCUGGUUCGAUCCCGGGAUUCGGUG